rnacentral:rRNA from 1 species
GACGAACCGUCCAAUCGUUAUUCGGAAUUACUGGGCGUAAAGGGCGCGUAGGCGGCGCGGUAAGUCACUUGUGAAAUCUCUGAGCUUAACUCAGAACGGCCAAGUGAUACUGCAGUGCUAGAGUGUGGAAGGGGCAAUCGGAAUUCUUGGUGUAGCGGUGAAAUGCGUAGAUAUCAAGAGGAACACCUGAGGUGAAGACGGGUUGCUGGGCCAACACUGACGCUGAUGCGCGAAAGCCAGGGGAGCAAACGGG